AUGACAAAAAACAAAACAAAACAAAACAAAACUCUGUUAGUUGAAGUAUUUCCUCACCUGAGUGUUCAACAAAGCUCAGGAUAUAAUAAAGGAAACGCUUAUAUGAUUGGAGAUUUUCAAGGAAUAUUGAUCAUUCAAAUAUGGAAUCAGGGCAGAGUCACAUCCGGCCCUUCAGUAAAGUAGCUAUGUCCUCAUCCCUCGAACAGACUCAGCCAACCCAGCUGCCUAGAGAAUAAACUAUGUUAAAUUUUGUUUACCUAUUCAGACUUGUUAUUCUUUGAGCUGAAUGAAAUACUGGGGUAUUGUUGAAUUUUCUGAUAAGCUUUUGGUUAUUCAGGAAAUACUUUUUGUUUUAUAUCUUUCUAAAAUAUAUUAAGUCUAAAAUAAUAAACUAGAAAAUAAUUUGUAAUAUAUGAAGCAGUGUAAAAUUUAAUAGGCUACAAAGAAAAAAAUGCACAAAUGAUGGUGCAUGAAAAGAUGUUCAACUGUACGUAUAUCAACCAGGAGGUAAAAUUUAUAUGCCAAAAAAAAUUAAAUUAAAAAAAAUUUAUAUGCCUAUGGAAUUAGCAAAGGUUUAAAAAAAAAAAAUGUGAGGACUUGGGUUCAACCCCAGCACCUGAAAAAAAAAGUUUGAUAGUAAAUGGUUCCUUAGCUGGAAGUUUGGUAGCCCCCAAUAAAAUGUAAAAUUCCCAUAGCAGACCCAUGUAUUUAUGCUAAAGACCUAGACUUAUAUUUCUGCUAAGGAUAUACUUACCUGAGUGUAAAAGAGAUGGAAUACUAAUACUUAACAAGGAGCAAGUUAAUGCUGUGUGCCAAGCCCUGUGCUAAGAUCUUCACCUGCAUUACCUCAUUUACUCCUUCCCAUAACCCUGUCAAGUCCUGUAUGGGUGGUGUGCUCCAACAGGAUUUGUAAGAACAGAAGAUAGAGAAGUAAUUUAUAUGUCCACUAAGAACUAAAUUUUUAUGUCUCUCCAUAUGUUGGGAUACUACUAAAUGAAUAGAGGUCAUUAAAUGAGAGAUUAUUUAGGAGAUACAGAGUAAUCUCCAAAUGAAUAUAAAGUAUAUUAGGCAGAGAUAUGCAGGAGAUAAAGAACAAGUUCCAAAAUACUAUAUAAUGAAAGAAAGUAAGGCACAUAAUUUUUUAUGUUGAGGGUGUAUGUGUGGAAGGGAAACUUGGCUUUACAUUGUGUCCUUGUGUGUUUUUUAAAAAAAUGUGUGUGCACACUCAUGUUUUGAAG
rnacentral:lncRNA from 1 species